GGCGAUAUGGCCGAGCGGUCUAAGGCGCCAGAAUCAGGACAUUGUCCAAUCUGGUCCUCACGGGCGUGGGUUCGAAUCCCACUGUCGUCA
rnacentral:tRNA from 1 species